rnacentral:lncRNA from 1 species
AUAAAGAAAAAAGAUCCGUCAGUUUGAAGAUUUGUAUCCGAACACAAGGAUUUGUAUUCUGUCCAUCCAACAGUCUUGGCCUAUCUGGUUCAUUCCAUUUGCAGAACCUCCAAUUUUCUGGACUCUGAUGUGCUCUGAUAAACAGACAUGGAAGUCAUAGUUUUCUCAUGUCCAAAGGAACACAUAGGCAAUUUUGAAAAGGAAAAUGUGAAGCUUAGCAAAGCUUUGUUCCAGAAGAACAUCUUUAAACUACACUUCUGUGUCCCUGGUCCUUGCUACUGUGGUUUAAAAGAAUGCCUGCAGCACUGAUGAAUGAAUGAUUUACUGGUCAUCCCCUUACAGCACUGAAACUGGAAAAUACAGAACAAGGAAAAAGGCUGAUUCAGGGCUAACUACUAAAUGGACUUACCCUUAGGAAAGGGUGCACAAGUGGAUGGAUGGCCUCUGCACUGCAAACUACACAGAAGCAGCUGCAACACAACCAGCAAGAACCCACCAGUGCUACAGAUGCUGCAGAACCUGCAAGUAACAACAGCUCAGUCACCACAAAUACUUAAUUACACAACUGAAGGAGAGAUAACAUGGUCCAAAUAUCAGCAACCUGAUGCUAAGCUGUGUUUUCUGUAGUGCUUUUUGCAAGAGAGAGUAACACAAUACAUCGGCACUCACUGGGCUGAAAGACUGAGCCUCCAGCCUGGAUGACGCAUUGCAGUACAGCACCCAGUAUCGCUCCUCAUCCCCUGGUUUAAGCAUGAGGAGGACCAACAUUUCACACAGUCUAAUAGCGACAGGAUACAUGGGAAUGGCUUUAAACUAAAAGAGGGAAAACUUAAGUUACAUGUUCAGAAGAGAUUUUUUACUCAGACAGAGUAGGCACUGGCACAGGCUGCCCAGAGAAGCUGCAGCUGCCCCCCAUCCCUGAAGGCAUUUCACAGGCCAGAUGGAGCCCUGGGCAGCCUGGUCUGCUAGGGCAGCCCUGCUCACCGCAUGGAGUUGGGACUGUAUGGUCUUUAAGGCCCCAUCUAACCCAAGCUAUUCUGGGAUUCUGCAGCAUGAAAUGUGGUUUGUGCCAGUUUUGCUAGAGACAAGCAGCCUUGCACAAAAGAAGCAUUUCUUUUUCUCCCUCUUACUUUCUGCACUCAUCUGCUGCUACCUUAAGUAACAGACAUACGUAUUCAUACAUACCAUCAUACUGGGAACUUGUGUCUCAACUUGUGAUGACUUCUCUCUGAGCUCCUGACCUCACCUACAGAGGAGGGAGUUGAGAACCAGAGCAGAACACCAAACCUGCCAGAAUCCAAACAGCCAUUAAGGUACUGUAUAGAAGUAAAGAAGAACAACAAGAGCUUUCAAGAAGCUCCUGUGAUCAAUCACCACCCAGCCUCUGUCUAAACUGACCUUUCACAAACUCACUGAAGCUCUUAACUACCGUAUUGAUAUAAACAUAACUACUUCAUUAUUAAAGAAAAAAAAAAGCACAAACCAAACCAUAAUAAAUACUAAUUUUCAAACUUUAAUUUGCUCUUA